rnacentral:miRNA from 1 species
UGGGGGAACUGGAAGCAAGAGU